UACAUAGGGGGCGAGCGUUGUCCGGAAUUACUGGGCGUAAAGGGCUCGUAGGCGGUCUGAUAAGUCACAUGUGAAAACUUUGGGCUCAACCCAAAGAGGCCAUGUGAUACUGUCAUGACUGGAGUCUGGUAGAGGAGAAUGGAAUUUCCGGUGUAGCGGUGGAAUGCGCAGAUAUCGGAAGGAACACCAAUUGAAAGCGAAGGCAGUUCUCUGGGCCAGUACUGACGCUAAGGAGCGAAAGCGUGGGUAGCAAACAGG
rnacentral:rRNA from 1 species